rnacentral:rRNA from 1 species
AUUGAACGCUGGCGGCAGGCUUAACACAUGCAAGUCGAACGAGUGGCGGACGGGUGAGUAAUGCUUGGGAAUCUAGCUUAUGGAGGGGGAUAACUACGGGAAACUGUAGCUAAUACCGCGUACCAUCGGAUGAGCCCAAGUGGGAUUAGGUAGUGGGUGCGGUAGUGGCUCCCCAAGCCGACGAUCUCUAGCUGGUCUGAGAGGAUGACCAGCCACACUGGAACUGAGACACGGCCCAGACUCCUACAGGAGGCAGCAGUGGGGAAUGAUGCGCGAUGGGGGCAACCCUGAAGCAACCAUGCCGCGUGUAUGAAGAAGGCCUUCGGGUUGAAAAGUACUUUCAGCGGGGAGGCGUUACUCGCAGAAGAAGCGCCGGCUAACUCCGUGCCAGCAGCCGCGGUAAUAC